rnacentral:lncRNA from 1 species
UCCACGAUGUCUGCGAUGGUGACCACACAGUAUGCGGAGCAACAUGUGCCAGAACACAGCCAAAUGAGCGAGCAACGCAGUACAGGCUGUGAGUGGACGGCGGGAGAAACAAAGCUGUUGCUCGAGUACUACCAGCAGUAUUUUUCCCAAAUAGGGCCGAUGAAAAAAUUU